AGAGUUUGAUCCUGGCUCAGGAUGAACGCUGGCGGCGUGCCUAACACAUGCAAGUCGAACGAGGUAUUUUGAUUGAAGUUUUCGGAUGGAUUUCAAGAUACCGAGUGGCGGACGGGUGAGUAACGCGUGGGUAACCUGCCUCAUACAGGGGGAUAACAGUUAGAAAUGACUGCUAAUACCGCAUAAGCGCACAGUACCGCAUGGUACGGUGUGAAAAACUCCGGUGGUAUGAGAUGGACCCGCGUCUGAUUAGCUAGUUGGUGAGGUAACGGCCCACCAAGGCGACGAUCAGUAGCCGACCUGAGAGGGUGACCGGCCACAUUGGGACUGAGACACGGCCCAAACUCCUACGGGAGGCAGCAGUGGGGAAUCUUCCGCAAUGGACGAAAGUCUGACGGAGCAACGCCGCGUGAGUGAUGAAGGAUUUCGGUCUGUAAAGCUCUGUUGUUUAUGACGAACGUGCAGUGUGUGAACAAUGCAUUGCAAUGACGGUAGUAAACGAGGAAGCCACGGCUAACUACGUGCCAGCAGCCGCGGUAAUACGUAGGUGGCGAGCGUUGUCCGGAAUUAUUGGGCGUAAAGAGCAUGUAGGCGGCUUAAUAAGUCGAGCGUGAAAAUGCGGGGCUCAACCCCGUAUGGCGCUGGAAACUGUUAGGCUUGAGUGCAGGAGAGGAAAGGGGAAUUCCCAGUGUAGCGGUGAAAUGCGUAGAUAUUGGGAGGAACACCAGUGGCGAAGGCGCCUUUCUGGACUGUGUCUGACGCUGAGAUGCGAAAGCCAGGGUAGCGAACGGGAUUAGAUACCCCGGUAGUCCUGGCCGUAAACGAUGGGUACUAGGUGUAGGAGGUAUCGACCCCUUCUGUGCCGGAGUUAACGCAAUAAGUACCCCGCCUGGGGAGUACGACCGCAAGGUUGAAACUCAA
rnacentral:rRNA from 1 species